rnacentral:tRNA from 1 species
GGUAGAGUAGUUUAAUAGAAAACGGGAGACUGUAAAUCUUCAAAUGAGUUCUUCUACCA